CUCUACUCAGCUGGAUCACACUGUUGAAUGGGACUCCAGUAUAUACGGAACUGGGAACAUUCUACAUGAACAAAAGUUGCAUGUCAGAACUACAGCUCCUCCCACUCCGUCUCCGUGAGCCAUUACACUUUGAGAGAACGUGAAUCUGGACGGCCCCCCGCACAGGUUGUAGGUUUGGCAGUUUUGGCUGAUGAGGGUGAUGUUAAUUCGGUGGAAUCAGCAUCGCUUGGAUGAGUAGUCGACAGCAGGAGAGUCAUGGAGGCGGUUGCAGGACACUAUCCGUCAUAUUACAGG